rnacentral:rRNA from 1 species
UACGAAGGGGGCUAGCGUUGCUCGGAAUCACUGGGCGUAAAGGGUGCGUAGGCGGCGCGGAAAGUAGGGUGUGAAAUCCCUCGGCUCAACCGAGGAAUUGCGCCCUAAACUACCGUGCUCGAGGGAGAUAGAGGUGAGCGGAACUUAGGGUGGAGCGGUGAAAUGCGUUGAUAUCCUAAGGAACACCGGUGGCGAAAGCGGCUCACUGGAUCUCUUCUGACGCUGAGGCACGAAAGCUAGGGUAGCGAACGGG